CGAACGGGUGAGUAAUGCGUGACCAACCUGCCCCAUGCUCCAGAAUAGCUCUUGGAAACGGGUGGUAAUGCUGGAUGCUCCAACUUGACGCAUGUCUUGUUGGGAAAGUGUUUAGUGGCAUGGGAUGGGGUCGCGUCCUAUCAGCUUGUAGGCGGGGUAAUGGCCCACCUAGGCUUCGACGGGUAGCCGGCCUGAGAGGGCGGACGGCCACAUUGGGACUGAGAUACGGCCCAGACUCCUACGGGAGGCAACAGCC
rnacentral:rRNA from 1 species